GAUGAACGCUGGCGGCGCGCCUAAUACAUGCAAGUCGAGCGAACAGACGAGGAGCUUGCUCCUCUGACGUUAGCGGCGGACGGGUGAGUCACACGUGGAUCACCUACCUAUAAGACUGGGAUAACUUCGGGAAACCGGAGCUAAUACCGGAUAAUAUAUUGAACCGCAUGGUUCAAUGGUGAAAGACGGUUUUGCUGUCUCUUAUAGAUGGAUCCGGGCCGCGUUAGCUGGUUGGUAGGGUAACGGCUUACCAAGGCAACCGUGCCUUACCGACCUUUGGGGGGGUAGGCCACAUCUGAACGUGAACACCGACCCGGGCCCUGAGGUACGGCCCAGGCUGGUACGGUACGCAACAGUGGGAAAGCUUGCCGAACCACCGCCGGGUUGGUGAGGAAGGGCUCGGAUCGUAAAACUCUGUUAUUAGGUAAGAACAAAUGUGUAAGUAACUAUGCACGUCUUGACGGUACCUAAUCAGAAAGCCCCGGCUAACUACGUG
rnacentral:rRNA from 1 species